ensembl:ncRNA lncRNA:CR43990 long non-coding RNA:CR43990
AUGCACACUAAAAGCUUUUCGGGAUAUAUGUUUUUUCAUAACCCUUUCGUGGCAUAAAACAGAACAAAGCAAUGUCUCAAGUGGCAAGGGUAAGGCACGUAAAUAAAAACGAGGAAUAAAAUCCGGGAAAAAACCCCAUGCACACAUAUAUACGAUAUGCGAAAUGAAAGUGAAGUGAGCGCAGGAUAAUGGCGACCAGAGCGGGACGGAAGGCCAAAAUGAGUGAGAGAGAGAGAGAGCGAUCUGGAGUAAGGGUAAUGAGUGUGCAUAAUGCAGAUGCAGAUGCAGGAUCCCCGUCCAGGAUCCCAGGAGCAGACCAAUCCAGCCCAUCUCCAGCACUCAUUGAACAAGCGGGCUCAAUCUGCCAUGCCAAGAUGCACUUGGGUAGUAGUACACUGGAAGAAAAUUGAGAGUAACAUUUAUUUUUUUUUGCAAUUAAAAUAUUAAAUUUAUCAUUAUUCGAAACUUUGU